rnacentral:rRNA from 1 species
UACGGGGGGGGUAAGCGUUGUUCGGAAUUACUGGGCGUAAAGGGCUCGUAGGCGGCCAACUAAGUCAGACGUGAAAUCCCUCAGCUUAACUGGGGAACUGCGUCUGAUACUGGAUGGCUUGGAUUCGGGAGAGGAAUGCGGAAUUCCAGGUGUAGCGGUGAAAUGCGUAGAUAUCUGGAGGAACACCGGUGGCGAAGGCGGCAGUCCUGGACCAACACUGACACUGAAAAGCGAAGCCAGGGGAGCAAACGGG